UACAGAGGGUGCGAGCGUUGUCCGGAAUCACUGGGCGUAAAGGGCGCGUAGGCGGCUCGGUCAGCGUGCGGUGAAAGCCCGGGGCUCAACCCCGGGUCGGCCGUGCGAACUGCUGGGCUGGAGCACAGUAGAGGCGGGUGGAAUUCCGGGUGUAGCGGUGGAAUGCGUAGAGAUCCGGAAGAACACCGGUGGCGAAGGCGGCCCGCUGGGCUGUUGCUGACGCUGAGGCGCGACAGCGUGGGGAGCAAACA
rnacentral:rRNA from 1 species